rnacentral:lncRNA from 1 species
CCUUACCUAACAAUGACUUCACGGUUUAGCUAACAAGCAAGCUAACCAAAGAUAUUACCUUUGCCUACAUACUCAAUGGAAUCGGCUGUAACUAAAAACUCGAAUACAUUUUAACAGACAGUGGUCAUGUUUGUUGAUGAAUAUUGUUUUUCCUAGAUUCACUCUUGAAAAAUCAUUUGGUAACAUUUGGUCAAGUAAUUUCAGAAAAGAUCUUUUUUGUAAUUGCGGACGCCAAGACAAUACAUGAACCUCACACGACCCCUCGACACAGGUGAGCUUAUAUAUGAUCUUAUAGCGAUUCGGGUUGAUAACCAGUUGAAAUUAAGCCAGUUUUUUGUGUGUGUAGAUUUGUAUUGUUUUAUAAAAAAGAAGAUGUGGUAUGAUUGCAAAUGAGACAACUAUCCACAAAAGACCAUAAUGACACAGACAUUAACAACUAUAGGUCACCGUACGGCCUUCAACAAUGAGCAAAGCCCAUACCGCAUAGUCAGCUAUAAAAGGCCCCGAUAAGACACUGUAAAACAAUUCAAACGAGAAAACUAACGGCCUUAUUUAUGUAAAAAAAAAUAAUUCUAUAUUUGCUCUCCAUUUUUAUGCAAAACCUUUUACGUUUUUAUUUUAUGGGUUAUUGUUGAAGGUCGUACGAUGACGUAUGGUUAUUAACGCAUACUUCCUUUGGUUUCUUAUGGAAAUUUGUCCAUUGACAACAAACAUACACAUCAUCUACUUUAUAUAAGUAUUGUAAAAAUUACAACGUAUUUUGGUGAUCUUGCAAAAUGAUCGUAAUCCCGAAAAUCGUAAACAUAUUUUCUUAUCUUAAAAGGGGGCAAGAAGGGUUCCAUUAACAUGCCAAUAAAUAAGAUUACAGUUAAUUAAAAAAAAAAUUAAAAAAUAGGGGUAUUUUUUCUCUCAUAAUAACUGUAAACAGAUUCACAACAAUGUCAAUUUCAAGAAAACAGACAACAGUUAAUUAGUCAAUAAUAGUACAGCAUCAAUGAUCUUGAAUAUAUGUCACUUUUAACUAAAAUAUAAAGGCACAGAACCAGGACAUAGGAGCACAGAACCAGGACCGUUUUUCUUAUCACCAGCACAGCGUCAGGACAAUUCCGUUUAACGAACUUGUACGACUUUUGCAAUGUAAUAUUGUUGUAAUAUACUUUGCAUGGUAGUUAUGACGCAUCAGAGAAAAAUUAAGCAACAAAACAGUCGUUUUAUUGCCGUUCUGAUACAAUGUAAACAAACCC